rnacentral:rRNA from 1 species
AUGACAAAGAGCCGCUUCGCCUAUGUGAUGGCCAUCUUGUUCAUCGGCUGGGUUGCAGGGACUGCAGAGUGUCGUCUGGAGGCUGGAAGCAAGGCCGAUCUGGAUUAUCAUACCAUGACAAGUGCUGGUGAUAUCAGUGAAAGCAAGCUUAAUGUGAAGUUUUGUCUCCGAAAGAAAUGUGGUUCACCUGAUUCACCGUUUGGCGUAGACUGCUACUGCUGCCUCAACAAGCCCGACAGCCCGUGUUUCGCCACAAGUGACGACUGCAAGAAAAAGUGUCCUACUUGCAAUCCCAGCUGCGCUCUUUCGGAUGCGAAGGAAUUUCAUCCAUGA